rnacentral:rRNA from 1 species
GGAGGAGAAACGCGGGGUGAAAGGAUUGGGAUCGGGUAAGGGAGCGGGAGGGGACGGCGGCGGCGGCGGGCAAGGGAGCGGGAGGGGACGGCAGCGUAGCGGCGGAAGCGGCUGAGCGGGAGGGGAGGAAGAGGGGUCGGCGGAGAAGGCGAGCACGACGCCAGCGGUAGGCGGAGAAGGCGAGCGGGGCGCCAGCGGUAGCUCCCGGACAGCGAACGCGGCGGCGAAGGGGCAGCUCGAGCGCGCAGUGCGGAGUCCUCCUUUCCUUCGGGUGCGACGAUAAGGGCCGCCUCGCGCGGAGUGCGGCAGCUGCCCUCCUACGGUCCACCUCGAGGCAGUAACCUAGAAGGAACCGCCGCCCGGUCGCGGUUCCUUCCAGUGUGGCCCUUCGCCGAGUAGGAGCCGCCGUUCGGUCACGGCCUAGACCACGGAUUGCGGACGUAGAGUGCGCAGUGGUUCAGCGGCUGCCCCCACGACACGACCGGCCAGCCUCCGGCUCGAGCGGAGCCGGUGGUUCAACGACAGCCCCUUGUGUUUCACGGAGCAAACUCCUGGACCUCUCCAGCGAUGUCGUACCUACACUUCCCGUAACUUCGUUCCACUCGGAGGCGGAGGGGGAGGGGUAGAACGGGUACUCCGGUACUGGGGCGUUAUCUGCACUCAAAACUUGUAAAAGAGGAGUUAACAAAAUACUGACUAGGAAAAACCACAGUAGUCUACCAAAGUACGGGAGGAGAACGUUGUCUAUUUAAAUUGGUUAAUGUUUCGAUAUCUUUCAUAAGUAAAUCGUAAUUUUUGAAUAUGGAAAACAAAAUCUCUUAUAAACUCAUACUUCGUUGCUUCCUAAUAAAACACGCGGGCAUAUGAGACAUUUUCAAACCGUUACACGUAAAAAAGUAAAUUCUCAAGAUGAAGAACGUUCUAUUCCGUUUCACCGUUCGAAGAGGUAAACAUAUAGGUACACAAAAAAGGAUCUUUGCUACCGACGUACAAAUACAAAAUGAGGUACUGAUAUCAAAAUGAGGUACUGGUGUGACAAAGAACAUCCUAGAUCGAUGGAACUCCACUGAAUCCUAGUAACCACACAGUAAAAAAAAAUCAAUAAAACAGCUAGACUAAAAUACAAGAAGGAGUCACUUCCGUCCAAUCUCCUUCAACUUAGUUCUGACAUACAACGUUGUUGCAUGGAUCCGUACAACAUACAUAAUAGGACGACAACCACUAAGUUACCGUAAAAAGUCAAAAUAAACAUCACUUUGAGUUACCUCACAACUCUCGUAAAAGGACACGUACAUGAGUAGAACCGGCGGUUCAAAGGAUUAUGUUUGAGUAAGUUGGUGCAUAUACAGACGGGACGUGCGCCAACUACAAAUCAAGAAACCAAAAACGUAUACGUUUAUACUUACAGAGAUAGAGAUUACGACAGCUAAAGUUCCAUACUUUUUCGAACUCUGUAAACUAAAACCCAAUUAGGGCCAAUACUAGCACGUCCGAACUACAAGUAUAUACACUGACAACCGAUAUACAUGAGGACAUCGGACAACAACUAGGGACGUAUCGAGGAAGUAUCAAACAAAAUAUACACGGGUAUGCCUCUUUAACAUUUACUUGUAUUUAUAUAGACAAAUUCUCGUAACACACAUAACCAGGACGUUAAUUUAACACUACAGGAGAUAAUAUCUAAGGAAGUGAAGCGAUGUAUGGACAUCUUUCUCGUUUACCACAUAACAUACUUGAUGAACAGAGCCAAUAUACCAACCGUUGGCAACUGAUUAGAUGAGUUAGUUCAUCAAAUGAGCCAAAUCGUCCAAAAAAGGUAAACCAAAUGAGAGAGACAUAAGAAACCCUCAUAAAUCUUAACUUGAUAUAAAAAUAUCAUUAACUAUGAGUGACACGGAGUGCACUGUCGCGAUACAGAUCCUUCUCCUCCCGUACAACUUGGUAGCCGCAGUCGAAGUGGCAGUAGGAGCCGUAGCCAUUAUGCAGUGAGGGUUCAGCAGAAACAUAGUGACGGUCCAUGUUAGGCCUUAUAUCUAACGAACUUACCUACGUGCAGAUUAAUUG